CGGCCAAGGUGUGAAUGGACACUCCAAGAGAUGCCUUUUGGCUGAAUCGGUACUUAGGAGAUCAAUGGACAGCAACCGAUGCAUGUAAGUGAAUAUUCAUGCAUUCUUCCAUUCAUUGUAUUAAAUCAUUCAUGCAUCAUCCUUACGUUCAUUGAACCAGCCCAUUCAUGAAUCAUCUUUAAUUGCGUUCCCACAUCAUGCAUUGUAAGUAGACGUUCAUGCACCUAGCUUGAAUGAAUCUCCAUAUUCGGCUGUACCUACAUGAAACAUGAACAAAUUAAUUAAAAAUAGAUAUAUUAAUUAACACAUAAAUUUAAAAUAGACAAAUUUAAUAAAGUCUUAAGCUAAACAUAUUAAAUUCAGCUAAGACAACUUUAAAAACAUAAAAUAAAUCAAAACAUAAUUAUGAGCUGUAAUAACUUAAACUAAGUUAAUAAAAUACUUUAAUUAUUCAACCAAUAAAAUAAAUGAGCUGAAUUGUAGCUAAAUUGAGCUCGAUUGAGCUGAAAUGAGCUCAAUUGAGCUGGUCGGAGUUGAAACGAGCUAGAAAAGCUAAAAUGGAGCUGAAAUUAGCUUGCACUAAGGUACAUGGUUUCUUCAAGGAGUUGGAUCGAGCUUCCUCAUCUUCAACAAGCUGAUUCUCCUUCCAAAACUUGAACAACAAAGCUGAAACAACUUCAUGAAAUCGCUUGGACCUAGCUCGGGUCAUUGGUCCCUUUGGAAGCUCGAGGGAAUCAAGACGAGGACUUGAUGGGGCUUGGGGCGUGGUCACAUCACUUUUACCACUCGACCUCAUCUCACAAAUUCGUAAUUCGUCUCGAUAGACUUAAUUUGCUGCUUCAGGGUCGGUUUCAAAAUGGGUUACAAGGGAUAAUGUCGGGUGUAGGGUAGGCUGAAUAAAGAAGAAAAUUGGUUUAAAAUGUGGCGUUGGGAUGGUAAAUAAUGGUAGGAAGGGAAACUUGAUGAUCGGAGUAAUAAGUGAUAAUGAUAAAAACUCGCAAGACUUUUCACUUUUUUUUUUAACUUGAUUUUUUUUGCUCACCUUUUUUUUUUCUUUUCUUUUUUUUUGCUCGAUUUUUUUUCACUUUUUUUUUUGAAAUUUUGUUUUAAUCAAAUUUUUUUUUCGAAUUUUUUUUUGAUUUUUUUUGUUACUCCAAUACAAUAGUAAGCUAAAUACAAGGGAAAAAAAUUAAAUUACAACUCAAAUUUUUUUUGAUUUUUUUUGUUACGAACCUACUCCGAGCUUGAUACGAAUGUCGGCACUCCUCGUUUUAGUAGCUCUGAUACCAAAUGAUGUGAUCCGGCCCGGGUUAAUUGAGUCGAUUCACUUGAUUGCUCGAUCAUCGACGAGAAGUUUGUUCAAACCUAUUCUUUCAAUUCUAUUUUCGAGACCGAGAAACGAACGACUCUUCUCGUCUACGAUCGGGCAACUCGUGAACUCAACUCAAUCAUCAGAGCCGGAUCACAUGAAGAAGGCAAUGAUUUUUUUAUCUUGUUAGUUUCGAAGAAGCACUCUUUGUACAUAAGUACAAGAAUGGGUUGCUUUGCCAACAAUAACUUUCGAAUAUCUCGCUUUCUUGCAAAAACCCUCAUUUUUUUCAUUCUCACUCUCAUUUUCUUUUUCUUUUUCCACUCGUGUUUUUAACUCACUUUUCUCACUUUUUCCAUUCUUUUUCUUUUCAUUCUUUUUAUUUUGCUCUUUUUCUUUUUCUCUUUCAAUGGAUUGUCUCAAUUUGAUUUGAUCUUCAUUUACGUGCUUUGGUGUGAGAAGGGCUAGUGUGACAUUCCUUCCGAGAUGCUUGAAUGAAUAACGAUUCGUGGGGCCAUCAUGAACUACCCGACGGUCAAACUGCCAACGAAUACCCAAUAAAAGGUGUCCCGCAUGCAUCGGCACAACAUCGCAUAUCACCUUGUCUUGAUAUUUUUCGAUGGAAAACGCCACCUUUACUUGCUUAGUAACUUUGAGUUCCCCUUCGUCGUUUAGCCACUGCAACUUAUAAGGAUUCGGAUACUCCAUCAUGGCCAAGCCAAGUCUUUCAACAAGCAUGGUGCCCGUGACGUUGGUGCAACUACCUCCAUCGAUUAUCAAGCUGCACAACUUGAUGUGAUCCGGCCCGGGUUAAUUGAGUCGAUUCACUUGAUUGCCCGAUCGUCGACGAGAAGUUUGUUUGAUUUUGUAGAUAGAUGGAGUUAGAUGAUUUUUUUUAUAGCGGAAGUUGAGAAAAUGGGUUCAAAAGAUGGUUUGGAUAGAUGUUUGAUAGGCUUGGUGAAAUAAAGAAAUAUUGUUUAUAAUUUAAUAGUUAAAAUGGAAUGGAAAAAUAGAACUCAAGCGAAGAACGAUUCAAUACUAUAUGAAGUAUUGCCCCGGGACUUAUAUUGCUCAAGGUGGUUUAAAUGGAUUGUCGAAGAUGGACCUUGACCCGUUACCUAUAGAGAGGUAGGAACCAAAGGUAUAAAAAGGUGGAUGAACGCCACACCAGGAUGGUGAUAAGUUCAAGAAGUCGGGUUGACGCCACUAGUGAGCUAGAUAAGUCAGAACGAGACUCGUACGACAUAGGAUAGGAAGAAACCUCACAAUCAAGUUUUCAAUAAUCAAAUUCUGUCUAACCUUUUUACAAAGAGAAAAGAACUAUUUAUAGAUUACAUUAGAUAGCCAAAUAGACUAAGUAAAUUCGGCUUUAAUUGAAUUAAACUAAUCUAGAAAUGUAUCUUUAAAGGCUAUGUCCAAAUUCGGCUUAAUGGUACUUCAAUGGGCAGCUUCAUGGCUAAGGAAAUGAACUUGAAGGCUUGGUGAAUGUAUGAGAGAGAAAUGGACAUGUCUAGGUUUGACCACCUUUUGGCCGAAUAGGUACUUAGGAGAUCAAUGGACAGCAACCGAUGCAUGUAAGUGAAUAUUCAUGCAUUCUUCCAUUCAUUGUAUUAAAUCAUUCAUGCAUCAUCCUUACGUUCAUUGAACCAGCCCAUUCACGAAUCAUCUUUAAUUGUGUUCCCACAUCAUGCAUUGUAAGUAGACGUUCAUGCACCUAGC
rnacentral:lncRNA from 1 species